rnacentral:rRNA from 1 species
AUGCGCGCCGCACAGCCUCGCCGCCGCUGCCGGAGAAAGUCGGGGAUGCAGGCGAGUGGCGCGGCGGCAUCGAGGCCGGCAGGUUCGACCUGCUCCCCUUCAUCGCGCAGGGCGUCAAUUUCGCCCACCUCUUCGCCGAUGGAGGACGACGACCUCCUGAUGGAGAUACUCCUGCGGCUCCCCCCGCGACCUUCCUCCCUCCCCCGCGUCUCCACCGUCUGCAAACGCUGGCGCCGCAUCGUCGCCGACCCCCAGUUCUUCCGCCGCUUCUGUGCCCACCACCGCGAACACCCCAUCGUCGGCGUGUUCUUCAACUCCAGCCUUGUUGAACCCCCCUUCAGGUCGACUCUCGAUCCGCCGGACCUCAUCCCACCAGAGCUCUUCUCCCUGCGGCUCGAUGGCAUCGAAGGCGGCGAUGGCGGCAUCUGGUCCAUCCACAGCUGCCGCCACGGCCGCGUCCUCUUCAUCUGCAGUGACCGUACCGGCAGGGGCUGCCGCCACGUCCUUGUGUGGGAUCCCGUCACAGGCGACCGCCGCUGCAUAGGCAGUCCACCGCAGCUGGAUGGUCACGACUGGAGCGGGUCCCAUGUGCAAGCGGAUGUGCUCUGUGUUGCCGGCGACAAGGGCCACGUGCACGGUGCCUGCCAUUCGAGCCCCUUCAAGGUGGUCUUGGCGUGCGUCAGCAAGGGCGUCGCAUACGCCUGCGUCUACUCGUCGGAGAUGGGAGCCUGGGCCGAUCUCAUCUCAACCAUGGUUCCAUUUGAUACCCCGUCUUCUCUUGGCAGUCGAAGCAUGCUGCUUGGGAAUUCACUCUACUGGUUUCUUUUUGGCCCUCAGAUGGGCAUCCUUGAGCUUAAUUUCGACAGACAGAGCCUAGCAGUGAUCGAGGUGCCACCAGAUGCCUGCGUUGCCAACCAUCAGGGACUCUUUUUGAGUACUCUUGGUGGCACGCUUGGUUUCAUCGUCGUGUCGGAAUCCUACAGAGCGCAACUAUGGGACAGGACGACUAAUUUUGACUGUGUUGCUGGGUGGAUGCCCGGACGAACUUUCGAGUUGCGCAAGCUUCUCCCUCUGAAAUCAGGGGAGUGGAUCAAAAGAGUAAUGUUUAUUGCUGGGGAUGAUAAUGUGGCAUUUCUGUCAACGUCUAGGGGCAUCUUCAUGGUCCAUCUCGAGUCAUUGCAGUUUGAGGAGAUAUUUAAAAGCAACCCUGAUUGUUGGCUGUCCACUAUCUAUCCAUAUCCAUUCAAAAGUUUCUUUGCUGCUGCAGGACUUCGUGAUCUUGAUGGUCGGGGACAAGGUGAAGGUGGAGCAGGCGGCACAACGCAUCAAUUAGAAUACUGA